rnacentral:sRNA from 1 species
CGGAGGAAAAGAAAAUAUCAAUGUUACCCUUACUACCGGCGAGCGAAGUGGGUAAAGCUCAAGUUUAAAACCUGUUUGUCCUACACAAACCGGAUUGUAAACUAUGGACGUGCUAUCCAGGCUCUUUGGACCUUCAAGUCCUUUGGAAUAAGGCUUCACAGAGGGUGUCAAUCCCGUAGAGGGUCUUGUAAGAGUCUAUUGCGAUGCAUGCUCCAAGAGUCAGGUUGUUUGGGAAUGCAGCCUAAAGUGGGACGGUAAAUCCCUCCUAAAGCUAAAUAUUGGCGAGAGACCGAUAGCAAACAAGUACCGUGAGGGAAAGUUGAAAAGGACUUUGAAAAGAGAGUCAAAAGUACGUGAAAUUGCUUAUAGGGAAGCGUUUGGAGCUAGUUUGGCUAGUCUGUUAUCAGCCUGUGCUUCGGCUUUGGUGUACUAUCAGGCUAUUUGCCGGCCAACUUUCAGGAUUGGAAGGAAAGCUUACUGCUUUGGAGUUAUAGAGACCUUUGCGGAAGCCUCUGGUGGAGCGUUGGUCUGCCUUGGCCCUUCUGUACCUAUAGUUGGCUUAAUGGCUCUAAAC